rnacentral:rRNA from 1 species
UGAGGAAUAUUGGUCAAUGGGCGAGAGCCUGAACCAGCCAAGUCGCGUGAGGGAAGACUGCCCUAUGGGUUGUAAACCUCUUUUGUAAGGGAAGAACCGACAUUACGUGUAAUGUUUUGCCAGUACCUUACGAAUAAGCAUCGGCUAACUCCGUGCCAGCAGCCGCGGUAAUACGUAGGUGGCGAGCGUUGUCCGGAUUUACUGGGUGUAAAGGGCGUGUAGGCGGGUAAACAAGUCAGAUGUGAAAUACCGAGGCUCAACUUCGGGGCUGCAUUUGAAACUGUAUAUCUUGAGUGUCGGAGAGGAAAGCGGAAUUCCUAGUGUAGCGGUGAAAUGCGUAGAUAUCAGGAGGAACAUCGGUGGCGAAAGCGCCUUACUGGGCCGUAAUUGACGCUGAGGAACGAAAGCCGGGGGAGCAAAUG